rnacentral:tRNA from 1 species
UUAAGGGAGACCUACCCAACUUGUUGAUUCGAUUGCUAUUCGUAGUAGUUGAGAUAAGAUCGAUAAGAUGGUCAACCGAAGGUCGAAUCGCUGACUUUUUAGAUGUAUAGCUUUCAAACUAUAAAUUUGGUUCGGAAUUGGGCUAUUAGCUCAGGUGGUUAGAGCGCACCCCUGAUAAGGGUGAGGUCCCUGGUUCGAGUCCAGGAUGGCCCACCUGUAAAGAGUUUUUGUGUUAAGAGUUAUGAGUUAGGAAUAAAACUCAAAGCUGAUUACAAAUAACUUUUUUUCGUGGGGGUUUAGCUCAGUUGGUAGAGCGCCUGCUUUGCAAGCAGGAUGUCAGCGGUUCGAGUCCGCUAACCUCCACUGUGUUCAAGAAUUAUUGAAAUAUUUAGCACCUAAACUAGGAACAAGAAAUUAGUUAAUAGUUUAGAAUGCUGAAUUGAUUUUCAGCCAGAACCAUGAAAACUGCAUAGUGACGUAAAUGUAAUGUAGGUAGCAAUAAAAGACUACUCAUAAUUCCUUGAAGUUGGUAACAACUCAUGGAUAGGAAGUAAGAAUUUUGUUGAAUAUGUACAUUCACAGACAAAUUAAUUUGAUAAUU